rnacentral:rRNA from 1 species
GACAGAGGGUGCAAACGUUGCUCGGAAUUACUGGGCGUAAAGGGCGUGUAGGCGGGAAGGCAAGUCGGGCGUGAAAGCCCCAGGCUCAACCUGGGAACUGCACUCGAAACUGCCUUUCUUGAGUGCCGGAGAGGAAAGCGGAAUUCCUGGUGUAGAGGUGAAAUUCGUAGAUAUCAGGAGGAACACCAGUGGCGAAGGCGGCUUUCUGGACGGUAACUGACGCUGAGACGAGAACGUGGGGAGCAAACAGGG